rnacentral:misc_RNA from 1 species
GGAAGGAUCAUUACUGAGUAUCUUUGCCUUUAGGCAAACCUCUCUAUCCAUAAACUCUUUUUUAUAAAGACAUGAUUUUAUUAUACUAGUCUGAAUGAUUUAUCAAGAAUCUUUUAAAACUUUCAACAACGGAUCUCUUGUUCUCGCAUCGAUGAAGAACGCAGCAAAAUGCGAUAAGUAUUGUGAAUUGCAGAAUUUUGUGAAUCAUCGAAUUUUUGAACGCACAUUGCACCUUCUGGUAUUCCGGAGGGUAUACCUGUUUGAGCGUCAUUUAUAUACUCAAAACUUUAUUGUUUUUGGUUAUGGGCAUCUAUUCUUGAUUGAAUUUGCCUGAAAUACAACGUAGAGUGGUCACUGGGAAGACAGGUUUAACCAAUGCUAUUAAAUUUAUCGUUGGGCAGGUCUGUUCUUUAGGUGACUAUGCUUCCUUAACGUCCUUGCGGACAACAUUUCUUAAAUUUUGACCUCAAAUCAGGCAGGAGUACCCGCUGAACUUAAGCAUAUCAAUAAGCGGAGGAAAAGAAACCAACAGGGAUUGCCUUAGUAACUGCGAGUGAAGCGGCAAGAGCUCAAAUUUGAAAUCUGGCACCUUCGUGUCCGAGUUGUAAUUUGUAGAAGCAUCUUUUGGGCUGGUCCUUGCACAUGUUCCUUGGAACAGGACAUCAUAGAGGGUGAGAAUCCCGUACAUGGUGGGGAGUCCAGUCCUUGUUAAAGUGCUUUCGAAGAGUCGAGUUGUUUGGGAAUGCAGCUCUAAGUGGGUGGUAAAUUCCAUCUAAAGCUAAAUAUUGGCGAGAGACCGAUAGCGAACAAGUACAGUGAUGGAAAGAUGAAAAGAACUCCGAAAGGAGAGUGAAAAGGACGUGAAAAUUGUUGAAAGGGAAGUGCUUGAGAUCAGUCUUAGGAUUCAGUGAUCAAUCUUCCUUUUGGUUGGUGCACUCACUGUUUUCUAGGCCAACAUCAGUUUUCGCGGCAGGAUAAUGUCCCAGGAAUGUGGCUCCCUCGGGAGUGUUAUAGCCUGGGUUGAUACUGCCAGCUUAGACUGAGGUCUGCGCUUUUUGCUAGGAUGUUGGCAUAAUGAUCUUAAUCAGCCCGUCUUGAAACACGGGGACCAAGGAGUCUAACAACUAUGCAAGUGUUUGGGUGUAAAACCCGUACGCGUAAUGAAGUGAACGUAGAUGGGAACCUUUUGGUGCACCAUCGACCGAUCCUGAUGUCUUCGGAUGGGAUUUGAGUAAGAGCAUAGCUGUUGGGACCCGAAAGAUGGUGAACUAUGCCUGAAUAGGGUGAAGCCAGAGGAAACUCUGGUGGAGGCUCGUAGCGAUUCUGACGUGCAAAUCGAUCGUCAAAUUUGGGUAUAGGGGCGAAAGGACUAAUCGAACCAUCUAGUAGCUGGUUCCUGCC